rnacentral:rRNA from 1 species
UACGUAGGGUGCGAGCGUUAAUCGGAAUUACUGGGCGUAAAGUGUGCGCAGGCGGCCGAGCAAGUCGAGUGUGAAAGCCCCGAGCUUAACUUGGGAACUGCGCUCGAAACUACUUUGCUGGAGUGUGGCAGAGGAAGGUGGAAUUCCACGUGUAGCGGUGAAAUGCGUAGAGAUGUGGAGGAACACCAAUGGCGAAGGCAGCCUUCUGGGCCAACACUGACGCUCAUGCACGAAAGCGUGGGGAGCAAACAGG